UUCUGUUUAUUAUAAGCGCUCGCUGGAGUUUUGUCGUCUGCUGGUUUAAAUGCUUAAGCUCUUUAAAUUCGGCUGGAUUCUGAUUGGCUGUCAAUGUUUUUAUCAUCCAUCUGCU